rnacentral:lncRNA from 1 species
UCGCGUUUGGCUGCGCGGAAACUAAGACUUCUCCCCAGAGUUGCGGAGGACGCGGCCGCCGCCCCUCCCAACUCCUCAGGCCUCCGAGGCCGGGUCCAGAGCCCUCAGUUCCUUCUGAAACCCUGGAGCGGAAUCAGAAGUGCGCGUGGCCACAGCGGCGCCUCCUGCCCUUUAGCCGCCGCUGGCCCAACGGUUUCCCCAGCAGUAGCCUCUGCGACCAGGAAAAAAAAUCACCAUUAUCUGGCCAGGCGCGAUGGCUAGUGCCUGCAGUCCCAACACUUUGGGAGGCCGAAGCGGGCAGAUCGCUUGAGCUCAGAAGUUCAAGACCAGUCUGGACAAUAUGGCAAAACCCGGUAUCUACAAAAAUAAAAAUAAAUAAAAAUAAAAAUUAGCCAAGCAUAGUGGCACUGUGCCUGUAGUUCCAACUACUUGGGGGGCUGAGGUGGGAGGAUCACCUGAGCUUGGGAGGUUGAGGUGGUGGUGAACAGUGAUUGUGCCACUGUACUCCAUCCAGGCGACAGAGUAAGACCCUGUCUGAAAUUAAAAAAAAAAACAAAAACAAAACUGGCCGGACACGGUGACUCACACCUGUAAUCCCAGCACUUGAGCUCAGGAGUUGGAGACCAGCCUGGUGAAAUUAUGUCUCAUUAUUAUUUAUACAAAAUAAACUUUUAAAGAAUAUAUAUAUAUAUAUAUAUAUUUUUUUUUUUUUUUUUUUAGUGAUGAGACUCUCACUAUGUUGCCCAGGCUGGAGGGCAGUGGCUAUUCAUAGUGGCAAUCAUAGCACACUGCAGCCUUGAACUCCUGGCCAACAUGGCGAAACCCUGUCUCUACUAAAAAUACAAAAUUAGCUAGGCAUGGUGAUGCGGGUCUGUAAUCCCAGCUACUAGGGAGGCUGAGGCAGGAGAAUCGCUUGAACUUGGGAGUUGGAGGUUGCAGUGAGCUGAGAUCGUGCUACUGCACUCCAGCCCAGGUGACAGAAAGCUAGACUCCAUCUCAAAAAAAAAAAAAAAAAAAAAAAAAAAAGAAUUAUAGGGAGAAGUCCAGGUACUCA